GGGGUUGACUGGAAUUGACGGGAAGAUUAAAUCCAAUGUAAGCAUGCGAGGUGUUGUAAGUAUUACCUCUAAAUAAAACUUUCAUAGUGAAUAAACGGCAACUUAGCCUUUAUUAACGCUCGCCGUCGCAAGUAUUCUUUUGCUCUUUUAGAAGAUGAAGAAGAAGGAAUGCGUUUGGCUGCUUAAUCGAUAGAUUAAGGGGCGUUUGUCCCUCUGGCUUUUGUUCUAUGGGGUCAGAAUAGGGACAUCGAUGCAUAGGACUGGUGUGACCAGAUGCGUGAUGGUUGCAUAAGAUUAACUGCGUAUAAGCAUAACAUAGAGGUAUGUUGCUGACCUUGGUUAUGUCGAAAAGAAACAGUAACUAAGCAUGUAGAAAGCGUUGUGGUUUUCUUGUUCGGACGAGGGUUCGAUUCCCUCCAACUCCACUU
rnacentral:tmRNA from 1 species